GCUUACACAGCAGAUGGAAUCAAGUACUUCAUCAAUCAUGUCACCCAGACCACAUCCUGGCUCCACCCCGUGAUGAGCGCUCUUAACCUGUCCUGCUCAGAGGAGAAUGAAGAGGACUGUUUGGGAGAACUUCCAAAGUGCAAGAGUUAAAGGCUUUCUGGAAGAAGCUGAGCUCUACCGUCUAUCACCUUCGUUCCUGUGGACACUCUCAGACUCAACAGUCCAAAAUAGGAUUAAAACGCACUCUACUCACUGAAGUCGUGAAAUGGAAUCUCUGGACUGAGGCUAUUUUAAUAAAACAUUCUCGUGUGAAUGUG